ensembl:lncRNA
CAAUGAUGCAAGCAACACUUCCUAUUUCAGUUAACUGAAAUUGCUCAACAAUUACAGCACCUUCCUCCCCUUUCACACGCAGCCCAGCAGCCCACAGACGUCUGGGCAGAAGCCGCCUUUCACAAGAGCCAUGGUACAAGGGAAACCUUCCUGGCGCUUGUUAACAAUUCCAAUCUAAUCCCACUCACCAGGAAAACCACAACUGUUACCGCCUCGGGGCUUCUGCAGUUGGACCAAGUAACUCCAGUGCAGUUCCUCGUCAGUAAAUGUGUAAUCUGCAAAGCAACUGUUGCAGGUGGCGUUAGCUGAUGUACUUCGUCGCCUAGUGAGCAAAGAAAUGCAGGAUUAGGAAAACACGGAGUCUGAAUUCAGCUUUAAAAGGCAGGAUGGCCCAAAGACUAGAGGUGAAGGAGAAAGAGGAAAAGCUAAGAGCCCCAAAACCGCUUCAGUCUGACCCAGAUAUGCACAAGGAUUCCCCUCCACACCUCCUAAAACUCAAAAAGGAUUCCCCUUUUACCUUUCAUGUUCACUUAGCAUGACGUGUUCUGCUGUGGUGCUACAAUGUGGAGCCAGACAGACUGAAGGUGGUGAAGAGAAAGUGAGGUAUCUUGCUUGAUCGAAUGGUACCAGUACUUCAGGUAUGUUUGACAGUCACUCAGUUGGUAUCUGAUUGACAUUUACUGAGUUCACUCCUAGUAAUUCAAGGGAAACCUUUUUCUCUUUUGUGUUGUGAUGCCCAUAGCCAACAGGAGCCUUGAGAUGAGUUCCUCUCCUCAGAAGUGUGAUUGCUGGCAAUGCAUUUUCAUACCGGCUUUUGGAA